AAACUCCGGGAGAUGCUUGUGCUUCAUCCAGCCCAGUGUUUCUCAUGACGUACUCUGCAUAUAAGUUAAAUAAGCAUGGUGACAAUAUACAGUUAAUGAUGUCCUGUGAAUGCUGACCCAUCUGUGCAUCUCUGGGAUUACCUGAUCAUGAUAUAUGAUCCUUUUAAGGAUGAUACUGGUCUUAUAAAAUGAGUUCAGAAGCAUUUCUUCUCCUGCAAUUUUUUUCGAACAGUUUGAGAAGGAUAGAUGUUAACUGUUCUCUAAAU